UACAGAGGGUGCAAGCGUUAAUCGGAAUUACUGGGCGUAAAGCGUGCGUAGUCGGUUAUCUAAGUCGGAUGUGAAAUCCCCGGGCUCAACCUGGGAAUUGCAUUCGAUACUGGAUAGCUAGAGUUCGGCAGAGGGAAGUGGAAUUUCGGGUGUAGCGGUGAAAUGCGUAGAUAUUGGGAGGAACACCAGUGGCGAAGGCGGCUCACUGGCCCGAUACUGACGCUGAGGUGCGAAAGCGUGGGGAGCAAACAGG
rnacentral:rRNA from 1 species